UACAGAGGGUGCGAGCGUUAAUCGGAAUUACUGGGCGUAAAGCGUGCGUAGACGGUUAUUUAAGUCGGGUGUGAAAGCCCCGGGCUCAACCUGGGAAUUGCAUUCGAGACUGAAUAGCUAGGGUACGGUAGAGGGAAGUGGAAUUUCCGGUGUAGCGGUGAAAUGCGUAGAUAUCGGAAGGAACAUCAGUUGCGAAGGCGGCUCUCUGGACCAGCACUGACACUGAGGCACGAAAGCGUGGGGAGCAAACAGG
rnacentral:rRNA from 1 species